rnacentral:rRNA from 1 species
UACGAAGGGUGCAAGCGUUACUCGGAAUUACUGGGCGUAAAGCGUGCGUAGGUGGUUUGUUAAGUCUGUUGUGAAAGCCCCGGGCUCAACCUGGGAAUGGCAAUGGAUACUGGCAAGCUAGAGUGCGGUAGAGGGUAGUGGAAUUCCCGGUGUAGCGGUGAAAUGCGUAGAGAUCGGGAGGAACACCAGUGGCGAAGGCGGGCUACCUGGAC